CUAAGAGUUCCACAGAACAGAUUUUAAGUGUCCAAAAUACUUUGGUUCUGCAGUUCCAGAGCACAAAUAUAUGGAAUGAAACGGUGAUCUUAAAGACUAAACAGGAAGAAAUAUACGCCCAAUAAAAAAAAGGGCAAGAAUAAGGGUACAGGUCAUAAGCAAAAGCUGAGUUUACAAGAAAAAUCUGUAUUUUGCCAAAGAGAUCAUUAUCCACAUGGGGACAGAGUAGUGAUCCAUAAAGAGGAAUAAUGUCCUGGGAUGUGCCACCACAUGGAUAAACCUUGAGGACAUUAUCUUAAGUGAAGGAGAUAAUCACGAAAGGCCACGUGUUACACAAUCUUCUUCAUGAAAUGUCCAGAAUAAGCAAAUCCAUAGAGAAAGAAUGUAGACAAGUGGUUGUUUCGUGUUGAGAUACCGGGUAUAGGGAGCAUGCUAAUGAAUUGAGGUUUCUUUUGGGGAUGAUAAAAGUGUUCUAGAAUUAAAAUGCUAGCAACCAAUGCACAAUUUUAAGAAUAUAUUAAAACCCACUGAAUUGUACCUAGUUUUUGUACAUGUUUUUUUUUCUUUUAAACAGGGUCUCGCAAGGUAGUCCAGGCUGGCCUUGAACUCACAAUGUAGUCCAGGUAUUCACUUAGACCAAUCAAAAUAUAUUGGAUUUCAUCUGUAAGUCAGUUCUUAUGAUGUAAAAAGAGACACCGGUGAACAGAGAAGUUAUCUUAACUAGUUAAAUACACACAAAAUCAGACCCUCCCCUCCGAAAUUCAAAGACUCAAUCCAAAAAUGGGCAUCUCAGAUGAAUACACACUUCUCAGAUGAAGAAAUACAAAUUACAAAUACAUGAAAAAAUAUUCAACAUCUCUGGUCAUUUGAGAUACAAAUUAAAACAACACUGAGAUUCCAUCUUAUCCCAGAAAAAAAUGGCUAACAUAAAAAAUGAACCGAUAACAAAUGCUGACAGGAGUGUGGGGGGAACCCUUCCACACUGCUGGUGGGAGUGUAGACUGGUGAAGCCACUGUGGAAAUCAGUGUGGAGUUUCUUUUAAAGAGUAGGAUUAGAGGUCCUGUUUGACCUAGGUCUUCCCCUCCUGGAUACCUUCCCAGAAGAAUUAAAAACACCACACCAUAGCAAUAUAUGUGCACCCAUGUUUGUAAUAACUAAAUCUUAUAAACAACACAAUCUGUAAUAACUAUAUCUUGUAAACAACCCAAAUGCCCAUUGAGGAAUGGAUAAAAAAUAUUUGAUCUUUUUUAUAUAAUGGAGUACUACUCAGCUAUAAAGAAGGAAAAACUGGAAACUUUUCUAGGUAAAUGGAUGAAACCUGAGACCAAACUCAUAAGUAAAACAAAUUAGAUGUGCAUGUAUCAACAUUGUAUUUUUUCACUUGUGUGAGCAACUGAAUGAGUAAAUAAGGCCCAAAAUGUACAACAGACACUGCAAAUUGAGAAGAACCUGUCGAAAAGAAAAGACUAACUGUGAUGAAGAAAAGGGGAAAGGAAAAAAUAUAUUUAUACACAAAAUAGUUAAGAUAGUUGUACAGCUAAUUGCUCUUAGUUCAUUGAAAAGAAAGAUUUGUGCUAAUAUUGUUUGGACAAGAUGUCUACACCUUGUGCUCUGAAUCACUACUAUGAAGACAACAGGCAAUGUAUUAAUUACUGUAACUCUCUACUAACCUGUUGGGAAACUUUUUGCUAUUUUAAUUUUUUUUGUCUUUAAAAUAAAAUACACACACGCAUAGGA